UAUAGGAUCAAUAUCGCGGCUGC
rnacentral:siRNA from 1 species